GAAAUGCGAUAAGUAGUGUGAAUUGCAGAAUUCAGUGAAUCAUCGAAUCUUUGAACGCACAUUGCGCCCCUCGGCAUUCCGUGGGGCAUGCCUGUUCGAGCGUCAUCUACACCCUCAAGCUCUGCUUGGUGUUGGGCGUCUGUCCCGCCUCCGCGCGCGGACUCGCCCCAAAUGCAUUGGCAGCGGUUCCUUGCCCCCCUCUUUGCGCAGCACAUUGCCAUUCGAGGCGGCGGCGGCCCGCGUCCAACAAGCUCAACCCCCCCGUCUUUGACCUCGGAUCAGUUAGGGAUACCCGCUGAACUUAAGC
rnacentral:misc_RNA from 1 species